rnacentral:rRNA from 1 species
UACGGAGGGUGCGAGCGUUGUCCGGAAUCAUUGGGCGUAAAGGGCGCGUAGGUGGCCCGGUCAGUUCGUGGUGAAAGCGCGGGGCUCAACCCUGCGUCGGCCAUGAAUACUGCCGCGGCUGGAGCACUGUAGAGGCAGGCGGAAUUCCGGGGUGUAGCGGUGGAAUGCGUAGAGAUCCGGAAGAACACCGGUGGCGAGGCGG